ACGGGACCCGCACAAGCGGUGGAUCAUGUUGUUUAAUUCGAUGAUACGCGAAGAACCUUACCAGGUCUUGACAUCCCUGCAAAGCUAUGGAGACAUAGUGGAGGUUAUCAGGGAGACAGGUGGUGCAUGGUUGUCGUCAGCUCGUGUCGUGAGAUGUUGGGUUAAGUCCCGCAACGAGCGCAACCCUUGUCACUAGUUGCCAUCAUUUGGUUGGGCACUCUAGUGAGACUGCCGGUGACAAACCGGAGGAAGGUGGGGAUGACGUCAAGUCCUCAUGGCCCUUAUGGGUAGGGCUUCACACGUCAUACAAUGGUCGGUACAGAGGGUUGCCAAGCCGCGAGGUGGAGCCAAUCCCUUAAAGCCGAUCGUAGUCCGGAUCGUAGUCUGCAACUCGACUACGUGAAGUCGGAAUCGCUAGUAAUCGCAGAUCAGCAUGCUGCGGUGAAUACGUUCCCGGGUCUU
rnacentral:rRNA from 1 species